rnacentral:lncRNA from 1 species
CUGGCUGGUGCUGGUGGCUUCCUACAAAGGGUGUUACAUCAGGACCUGGGUAAGGGGAAGUUCUAGGUUUGGACACCCUGGGAGCUUGUGCGAAAGCAAUAGUGCCCUAGUUGCUCCAAACAGCUCUACAUCAGUGCUUUUAACCUGCAACCCUGUUCCCCACCACAGAGGAAGAACCAGCGGCAACACUACUCCCUGACAGUGAGAUACUAUGACGAAGAGCGGAAGAGAUGGGCGACUGACAGUGUCCUGCCAUGUUCCAGUUGUCCCUCCACCCCCACCUCCCAGAGGCCUGACCAUCUCCUGCAGUGAGGUGUGCAUGACUGUGACCCUGCCUGCUGGCCCCCUGGAGGAGAUCAAGGUUCAGAGUUCCUCUGGCAGCCUGGUGUCUGUGCUGGACACUCCAUCCUGUGGAUACUCUGUGACUGAAGGGUGGCACCUGAACACCCUGACCAUCCUGUACACUGGAUGCCAUGUUUGGCUUGUGGUGAGGCUGAGUAUCUAGCACACUUUCCUGUGCUAUGAGCAAAUAGCACGCCU